rnacentral:rRNA from 1 species
UACGUAGGGUGCGAGCGUUAAUCGGAAUUACUGGGCGUAAAGCGUGCGCAGGCGGUCGAGUAAGUCGAAUGUGAAAGCCCCCGGCUUAACUGGGGAGGGUCAUUCGAUACUGUUCGACUUGAAGGCAGGAGAGGGCAGCAGAAUUCCCGGUGUAGUGGUGAAAUGCGUAGAUAUCGGGAGGAAUACCAGUGGCGAAGGCGGCUGCCUGGCCUGUUCUUGACGCUGAGGCGCGAAAGCUGGGGGAGCAAACGGG